rnacentral:rRNA from 1 species
GCGGCCUAAUACAUGCAAGUCGAGCGGCAGCACAAGGGAGUUUAUUCUGAGGUGGCGAGCGGCGGACGGGUGAGUAAUGCCUAGGGAUCUGCCCAGUCGAGGGGGAUAACAGUUGGAAACGACUGCUAAUACCGCAUACGCCCUACGGGGGAAAGAGGGGGACCUUCGGGCCUCUCGCGAUUGGAUGAACCUAGGUGGGAUUAGCUAGUUGGUGAGGUAAUGGCUCACCAAGGCGACGAUCCCUAGCUGUUCUGAGAGGAUGAUCAGCCACACUGGGACUGAGACACGGCCCAGACUCCUACGGGAGGCAGCAGUGGGGAAUAUUGCACAAUGGGGGAAACCCUGAUGCAGCCAUGCCGCGUGUGUGAAGGAGGGCCUUCGGGUUGUAAAGCACUUUCAGUAGGGAGGAAAGGGUGAGUCUUAAUACGGCUCAUCUGUGACGUUACCUACAGAAGAGGACCGGCUAACUCCGUGCCAGCAGCCGCG